rnacentral:lncRNA from 1 species
UGCAUGCAAAAUCUCAAUCAUAAGCAUCAUAAAUAAUGAUUGCGCAAUAAAAAAUACUCAACAUGUAUGUACCACGUCUACAAUUCAUCAUCAAAGGUACCGAGAAGUAGGCCUCCCUCCCGAUUACCGUGACCGGUCGAUCCGAUAGACGGCUCGUAGUCACCUCUGUGCACAAAAUCCCGCUUAAGGUAAGACCAAAUUUGUCCCAUCAGUAGAGGGUAACACACAAGUUCAUCAUCAAAAUAUACGGCAAGUCAAUAAGUUCAAAUCAUAAUUAUUCUAAAAAAUCUAUCAAAUCAUAUCAUCAUUAUCAUUUGAGAACUCAUAUAAGUAGUAGUCAAAGUAAUGCCCACCUGAUAAACUUAGCUUACUUCAAGUGGUUCUCGGGGUGAUCUCACUUGCGUCCUCGACUGGUAUCUUCAAAUAUCAUCAUCGUAGUAGUGCAUGAGACAAGUUAGAGGAACAAGUCAGAAACUAACCUUAGUCCUAUUACAACACUCAUCAUAAUCACACUCGACUUAUCUAAAUCUUAAAAACUCAAUACUACGUCAAUAAACACUAAUCCUAUUCUCGACUUUAUCGCUCAUCUAGGACUUUUCACAUUAGUAACCAAACACAUAGACAGAGCACACAUACAAGCAAAAAUGGAUUCACAUUAGCAUAUGAAAGGCUAAACAAGUUCAUUAAUCCAUAAAGCAAUUAUGUUUUAGAAACUUUUAUGAAAAUCGGAAAAACAUUUACAGUUGGGGAAAAAUUCCCAAAAAAUUGUUUUAGAAAGCCAAGAGUAUACUAUCAAGCAUUCUUGAUUCAAUCAUUCAUAAUUAAAUCACAUAAACAAGUUAUCUCAAUUAAAAGCAUUAUUGACAAACUAAACUCAAAACUCUUUUGUUAGAAAAUUCUCAAAAUUUCAACUUAAGCUCACAGUCUACCCAAGAACAUGAAUAUACGAUCAUACGACUCAAGAAAAAUCAAACUCGGCUUCCUUGGACUCAUCAUUUCAGUCAUCAAAAAAAAAUUAGGGAACGAUCCAUUUCAUCUCAUCUUUCAUAUAUAGGCUUAAUUAAUCAUCACAUAGCCAUAUACCUUCAUAAUUAACACUUAACUCAUUGCAUAUGAGAGAUCUCAUGUAAACGCACAAACUAAACUCUGUGAAAAUUCACAAUUCAAUGAAAAUUCUCGAUCUAAUCAUGGGUCCUAUAUAGGUUCCAAUUAGGAUAUAAACAUCAUUAACACAAGUAGGGAUCUCAUAAAUCAUGAAUACCCAAUUUCUAGUAAACUAAACUCAAGUAAAUUCACAUAUAGGCAACAAUUAAUCAAAUUGUUCAUGAAUACUUAGUCUAGACAUGCUUUUAAUCAAUUAAUCAUAUCCAAUUCAAGUAUAUAUCUCAUAAAUCAAAAGGUCUCAAUUUUAAGUAAACUAACUUUUAGAAAAUCUUUAAUCAUGCUCAAAUAACCAAUUAAAGCCUAGAUCUAACAAAUUAGUUCACUCAAUCAAUAAUAUAAGCUAUCACAUAACUAUUUCAAGCACAUAAGUAAAAAUACAUAAUUUCCAUCAAACUAACUCAUUCCAAUUUCCAUCAAUCACUUCCAAUCAUCAAUCCAAUCCAUCAAUUAUCACCAUAGCAAACUCAAUAACUCAUAUCAACUCUCAAUUCAUCAAUUAAGUCAUAAUCUCAAAAAUUCCCAAACUUGGAUAAACUAACUCAAAGGAAAUUUCAUAAAUCUUUCCAAAGCUUAUCAAAACACAUAGAAAUCAUCUUAGUACACUCCAAAUAGAAUUAAUCUCACUCCAAUUUAAGAAAAGAAAGAGAAAAUUUUUUGAAGGGCAAGGCCCUAAUUUUCAAAAAUUUCAAGGAAAUAAGGAGGGGGUGUUUUCUUGCUUCAAUAAUGCAUAAACACACAUAUAUCACACCAUAGAGUCUAGUUCUAUGAAAUUAAAACACUUACUCAAGACUUAAAAGAAAGAGUGAAAAUCUUCUCUGCUUCAAGCUUGAAACUCCAUCUUUCUAGGUCUUGAUUUGAGGUAGAGGUGUUUUAGGUUGAUUUCUAUGGAAGGCUUUUGUGUAAAGAUGAUCCAAAAGCUUUAGUGUUCUUCAAUCAUGGAGGAUUAAUGGAGAAGAAAGAGAGAUGAGAAU